UGCACGUUAUGCACAUGUACCCUAGAACUUAAAGUAUAAUAAUAAUAAAAAAUAAAAUAAAAUAAAAGAAAUAAAGUAAAGGUGGGACUAGCCUCAACCUGGUCCCACAAGGAGCUCUGGAGUAGGAGUUGCACCACAGAGCUGUCCUGCAGAUUGUCAUGGACUACCAGCAGCCUACCCCUCCCAGGGGUGGGUGCAUGAACUUCCAGGCAUCUUCAGCCAGGGUGGUACUUCCUCAGCCAAGAACAGUCCUUCAGAGAAUGGUAAAGGUGCCAGCUGUUAGCAGCUGACACCUGCAGCAUCCGCAGGAUGGGUGCAAUGGCCCCGUGAAGGGAACCAGAGUGGGGCACGGAAGUAUUAACUACAAUUCCUGACCCACCUUCAUUUCUCUUGCCUCCAACAGUCACUCUCUCUAUUACUCUGUUAUGUAUAGUCAUAGCGCUUAUCACUGUCUGGAAAGAGUGGCAUAUUUAUAUAUUUACUGCUUAUUAUCUGUCUCCUUUCCACUAGAUACCAUAAACUCCAGAGCACAUCAGCGUUGCAUCAUCAGUCUCUAAACAAGUGCCUGGCACAUAAUGAGGAAAGUGAGGCAGAGAGAGGUUAAGCCAUAUGCUCAAAAUGACACAGCUGGUAAGAGAUGGAAGCAGAAUUUGAAUCCAGGCAGCCUGAAUCCCAAAUGUGUCACCCGAAAUACUCAGAAUAAAGGCCUCUAUUGAAAGAUGAAGUUAUAGGUGAGGUUGACCAGGCUAACAAGUAAAGACAAUGCAUCCCUCUGGUGGAUCUCACAGUGAACAAAGUCUAUACACUACUCCAAGACACUCGGAAUCUUGAGCGAGCGUGACUCAAUGGGAGACUGUUCCACUGUCAGUUUCUCUUCCAGCCUCCCAUGACUCCAAACCAUUAGGCUGCAGUUUUGACAGUGGCUCCCAAUGGCUUGAAAGUAACUAAUGAGUGAAUGCCAGUGCCCAGUAGAGGUGGAAGACGGCAGUUACAAUUUCUCAAAGAUCAUUUGACUCAUCUUUUGUAAUAUUUCAACAUUUAAUGUAAAACAGCAGGCAAACUGGAGAUUUAUAACCUGAUUCAUUCUAAUUGAUUUCUUGGCUUCCUUGGGUCGAAUUAAUUUUUACUGUGUACCCUAAAAUGGUGCAAUAGGCUUCCUAAAAGCUGUUAGAAGGCAGCUGUAUCAUAGUUUAUAAAAAGCUAACACUUGGCUUUUAUUUGAUAGGUAAAUAGAAAUUGAUUUUGCUGUUGAGGUCCAGAAAUAAAGGAGGAAAAUUGACUCCAGAACUCAAGAGAAGAUCCUGGAUUACUCUGUCUUGGUUUGGGUUCUCCCAGGAGGAGAUUCUGAGACAAGGACUCUGAAUGCAAGUAAUUUUCUGGAAGGUAGUGCCAGGAAACACGCCAGGAAUGGGAAAGUGAGACAGGGAGAGGAGGAAGCCAAAUAGGGGGUGCAUUGUCAUAUAAGUUAUAUUGUGGGCAGCUCGUGUUCAAUCUAUGGAGUUGUCUAGGUUUUAUUCCAACCAGGAACAAAUCACCAAUCACAUCAGUCCUGGGUUGAGGGCUGCUUUUUCACCUUAACUCCAAGCAUUCUGGACGUAGGCCUGGCUGGUUUUGACAGCCAGAGAAAACUCUCCUUCAAAGAGAUGAGAGUGCUUGCACUUGGAGCUGUAGGGUUGGGUCUACCUGGGAAUAAUAAAUGGCAAGGGGAUGUAGACAGAGAACACAUUGUCUGUUACAAUGUCCAAAUAUAAACUGUGCUGCUUUGACCUUUUGUGCAACAGUGAAGUCCCCCUGGUUCCCAGCUGCUUGCUCCUGACCUUGCGUGGAGUUCGUAAUCAAGACUCCUGUGCCACUGACUUGAAGAUCUUUAACUAAGGCUGUUGUCCAUCUUACAUUUUAUAAUACAACACUGUAUCACCAUUUGGAAGAACAUAAAUUAUAACUAUAAAUUACAUAAAUUAAAAGUUACAGCUAUUGACAAGAUUGUGCAGACUAUAAAGUGCUUUUGGAUUUUAUUCAUCAGUGUUCAGAAUACCCCUCAUGGUGACUUGGCUUUGAGUGGAUCCCCCAGUAACAAUCUUUUUGUGAAGAAAAAAAAAAAAAGAAAUGAGAAAAGAGAUGCCCCAUCAAACUGAAAAUUGAGUAGAAGCUUCUGUGUUGCAGUAAUUUUUUUGUGGGCUUAAGAUUUCAUCUUGAAAAUGCAACAUUUGUAUUUAGCAUUGUCAAAGGCAAAAGAGGAAUAAAAUAGUGCCUUCCAGGUCAAUGAAAAAUAAAUCCACCUCCUGAUCAGGCUCUGCUGCUGGCAAGGUAUUGUUCUCUGAGUCUUCUGACUGGUGCUACACAGGCUUUCUUGCCACCUCCCAGGCCCAGCUGCUGUUUGCCCACCUGUGAGCCUUAUUCCUGCCCCAAAACAAGGAAAACAGCAAAAACAGUGUGGCCACUGAGACUGGGCUUAAGGCCCAAGAACAGCUUUCCCUUUGGGUUCUGUUAUUGCCACCAUGAAGCUACUCGUGGAAGCCCAGGAGCAACUGCUUAUUAACCUGUUCCUCUCAACUAUUUGUUUAGGAAUCAUAUGAGUGUAUAGACACUACAGAUGACGAGGAUGAUUUCAAAACCAAACCAUGAUUUAUUUGUUGAUAUUUGGAAAUGUACAUUCAACUUCUUGUGUUUUGUUACACAACUCGAUGACACAUUUUCAUUUUUGUUUUAUUUUAAUAAAGGGUGUGCUCACCGUGUGCCAGACCAUACCAGCACUUGGCAAAUUAAACUCAUCUAGUCUUCAUAACUUCACCGUGGUGUAGGUACUGUUUUUAUUCCCAUUUUACAGAUGGGGAAGUUGAAGCACUGAGAAAUUGUCAUGGUGGUAUUAUCAUGAAAAUAACAUUAAGAUUGAUGAAAUGUAUAUAUUAACUAAUUUUGACUCAUAGGUUAAUCCUUCUGCCCUUCCCUGAUCCUAUCCCAGAUGGCUUUUGGAAUGUUUUCCAAUACACAUUAAAGGGUUUAUCUGUGCUAUCUCUGGAUUCUACUCAGAAGAAUGUUGCCCAGGCUCUGUUAUAGUGAAGGGUAGGUUAUAAAGUCAGCACAUAGUGGAGAAAAUGCCACAGAGUCCAAAUUAACUCUGAAAAUGCUUUCAAAUACCUCAAAAUACUGCAGUGUGGUUGUAUGCUUAUGACCCUCUGUGGUAAUUCUAAGGGAG